CUGGCGGCCUGUGGUCGUCCGAGUUGUAGUCUGGAGAAGCGUUUUCUGCGUCGGACCGUGUACAAGUCCCUUGGAACAGGGCGUCACAGAGGGUGAGAAUCCCGUCUUUGACACGGACUGCCGGUGCUUUGUGAUGCGCUCUCGAAGAGUCGAGUUGUUUGGGAAUGCAGCUCAAAACGGGUGGUAAAUUCCAUCUAAAGCUAAAUAUUGGCGAAAGACCGAUAGCGAACAAGUACCGUGAGGGAAAGAUGAAAAGCACUUUGGAAAGAGAGUUAAACAGUACGUGAAAUUGUUGAAAGGGAAACGUUUGAAGUCAGUCGCGUCUCCCGGGACUCAGCCUUGCCCUUUCCGGCCUGGUGUACUUCCCUGGGAUGACGGGCCAGCAUCGAUUUUGACCGUCGGAGAAAGGCCUUGGGAACGUGGCACCUUCGGGUGUGUUAUAGCCCUCGGUCGUAUGCGACGGUUGGGAUCGAGGACCGCAGCACGCCGUUUUGUCGGCCGGGGUUCGCCCACGUACCGUGCUUAGGAUGCUGGCGUAAUGGCUUUAAGCGACCCGUCUG
rnacentral:rRNA from 1 species